GUUCGGGAUUCUGGGACGAGG
rnacentral:miRNA from 1 species